AGUGAACGCUGGCGGUAGGCCUAACACAUGCAAGUCGAACGGCAGCACAGUAAGAGCUUGCUCUUACGGGUGGCGAGUGGCGGACGGGUGAGGAAUACAUCGGAAUCUACUUUUUCGUGGGGGAUAACGUAGGGAAACUUACGCUAAUACCGCAUACGACCUACGGGUGAAAGCAGGGGAUCUUCGGACCUUGCGCGAUUGAAUGAGCCGAUGUCGGAUUAGCUAGUUGGCGGGGUAAAGGCCCACCAAGGCGACGAUCCGUAGCUGGUCUGAGAGGAUGAUCGGCCACACUGGAACUGAGACACGGUCCAGACUCCUACGGGAGGCAGCAGUGGGGAAUAUUGGACAAUGGGCGCAAGCCUGAUCCAGCCAUACCGCGUGGGUGAAGAAGGCCUUCGGGUUGUAAAGCCCUUUUGUUGGGAAAGAAAAGCAGCAGGUUAAUACCCCGCUGUUCUGGCGGUACCCAAAGAAUAAGCACCGGCUAACUUCGUG
rnacentral:rRNA from 1 species